GUUUGUAUAAAGCUGGCACAGGGAUUGCCCUAGUAACGGCGAGUGAAGCGGCAACAGCUCAAAUUUGAAAUCUGGCUCUUUUAGAGUCCGAGUUGUAAUUUGCAGAGGGCGCUUUGGCUUUGGCAGCGGUCCAAGUUCCUUGGAACAGGACGUCACAGAGGGUGAGAAUCCCGUACGUGGUCGCUGGCUAUUGCCGUGUAAAGCCCCUUCGACGAGUCGAGUUGUUUGGGAAUGCAGCUCUAAAUGGGAGGUACAUUUCUUCUAAAGCUAAAUAUUGGCCAGAGACCGAUAGCGCACAAGUAGAGUGAUCGAAAGAUGAAAAGCACUUUGGAAAGAGAGUCAAACAGCACGUGAAAUUGUUAAAAGGGAAGCGCUUGCAGCCAGACUUGCUUACAGUUGCUCAUCCGGGCUUUUGCCCGGUGCACUCUUCUGUAGGCAGGCCAGCAUCAGUUUGGGCGGUAGGAUAAAGGUCUCUGUCACGUACCUCCUUUCGGGGAGGCCUUAUAGGGGAGACGACAUACUACCAGCCUGGACUGAGGUCCGCGCAUCUGCUAGGAUGCUGGCGUAAUGGCUGUAAGCGGCCCGUCUUGAAACACGGACCAAGGAGUCUAACAUCUAUGCGAGUGUUUGGGUGUCAAGCCCGAGCGCGUAAUGAAAGUGAACGGAGGUGGGAACCCGCAAGGGUGCACCAUCGACCGAUCCUGAUGUCUUCGGAAGGAUUUGAGUAAGAGCAUGGCUGUUGGGACCCGAAAGAUGGUGAACUAUGCUUGAAUAGGGUGAAGCCAGAGGAAACUCUGGUGGAGGCUCGCAGCGGUUCUGACGUGCAAAUCGAUCGUCAAAUUUGGGCAUAGGGGCGAAAGACUAAUCGAAACUAUCUAGUAGCUGGUUCCUGCCGAGUCUCCCCCUCAAGAGAAAGAAACGCGCUCCAAGAAUCGUUCGAUUGAGUCAAUCGCCCUGUGCCCAUGUGGACGAUGAUUUGCAGGUCGGACGCUGCAGACCUCCAGAAGUUUCCCUUGCUUCACUUAUCAGGCAAGUACGCUAUCGGUUCAACGCAUGCUUAACUCAAUCCUCCAGACUUCAGAUGUGAAUGUACCUCGCUCUGUCAGUUACUACCGCCU
rnacentral:rRNA from 1 species